rnacentral:tRNA from 1 species
GCCGGGGUGCUGAAAUGGUAGACAGGCCAGUCUCAAAAACUGGUGACUUCACGGUCGUGAGGGUUCGAGUCCCUCCCCCGGCA